rnacentral:rRNA from 1 species
UACGUACUGUGCGAACGUUAUUCGGAAUCACUGGGCUUAAAGGGUGCGUAGGCGGCCAAUUAAGUAGGGUGUGAAAGCUCUCGGCUCAACCGAGGAAUUGCGCUCUAAACUGAAUGGCUUGAGUGAGAUAGGGGUGUGCGGAACUUCCAGUGGAGCGGUGAAAUGUGUUGAUAUUGGAAGGAACACCGGUGGCGAAAGCGGCACACUGGGUCUUAACUGACGCUGAGGCACGAAAGCCAGGGGAGCGAACGGG